rnacentral:rRNA from 1 species
GACGAACGCUGGCGGCGUGCUUAACACAUGCAAGUCGAACGGAAAGGUCCUGCUUUUGUGGGGUGCUCGAGUGGCGAACGGGUGAGUAACACGUGAGUAACCUGCCCUUGACUUUGGGAUAACUUCAGGAAACUGGGGCUAAUACCGGAUAGGAGCUCCUGCUGCAUGGUGGGGGUUGGAAAGUUUCGGCGGUUGGGGAUGGACUCGCGGCUUAUCAGCUUGUUGGUGGGGUAGUGGCUUACCAAGGCUUUGACGGGUAGCCGGCCUGAGAGGGUGACCGGCCACAUUGGGACUGAGAUACGGCCCAGACUCCUACGGGAGGAAGCAGUGGGGAAUAUUGCACAAUGGGCGGAAGCCUGAUGCAGCAACGCCGCGUGCGGGAUGACGGCCUUCGGGUUGUAAACCGCUUUCGCCUGUGUCGAAGCGUGAGUGACGGUAAUGGGUAAAGAAGCACCGGCUAACUACGUG